rnacentral:rRNA from 1 species
CCUACGGGUGGCAGCAGUGGGGAAUAUUGCACAAUGGGGGAAACCCUGAUGCAGCGACGCCGCGUGAGUGAAGAAUUAUUUCGGUAUGUAAAGCUCUAUCAGCAGGGAAGUAGAAUGACGGUACCUUACUGAUAAGCCCCUGCUAACUACGUGCCAGCAGCCGCGGUAAUACGUAGGAGGCAAGCGUUAUCCGGAUUUACUGGGUUUAAAGGGAUCGUAGACGGGUUGUCAAGCCUGAAGUGAAAGGCCAGGGCUCAACCGUAGGACUGCUUUUGAAACGGUGGAGCUUGAGUGCUGGAGAGGUAGGGGGAAUUCCUGGGGUAGCGGUGAAAUGCGUAGAUAUUACGAAGAACACCAGUGGCGAAGGCGGCCUACUGGACAGUAACUGACGCUGAUGCUCGAAAGCGUGGGGAGCAAACAGGAUUAGAUACCCGCGUAGUC